GGACCUGCUGGGGGAGAAGGAGAAUCUGGACAAAGAGGCGACCUUGGUGAAGCAGGUUUGCCAGGCCCUAAAGGAUCUGAUGGCAAUCUUGGUGAACCUGGCUCACGUGGGCCCGAGGGAAUCCGUGGCAUGCCUGGCAUAGAAGGAUUCCGUGGGCCUCCUGGCCCCCGUGGUUUGCAAGGGGAAC